rnacentral:rRNA from 1 species
UUCGGGGCGAAGAAUAUAGAAGUUAGUGGCGGACGGGUGCGUAACGCGUGGGUAAUCUGCCUUUGUCAAAGGAAUAACUAUUCGAAAGAAUAGCUAAAACCGUAUAACAUAUUAAUAGGGCAUCCUAAUAAUAUCAAAACGAUAGUGGACAAAGAUGAGCCCGCGUCUGAUUAGCUAGUUGGUGAGAUAAAAGCCCACCAAGGCAACGAUCAGUAGCCGACCUGAGAGGGUGAACGGCCACAUUGGAACUGAGACACGGUCCAAACUCCUACGGGAGGCAGCAGUGGGGAAUAUUGCACAAUGGGGGGAACCCUGAUGCAGCAACGCCGCGUGAGUGAAGAAGGCAUUCGUGUCGUAAAACUCUGUAGUAGGGGAAGAAAGAAAUGACAGUACCCUAAAAGAAGCCCCG